rnacentral:rRNA from 1 species
GGGCCCGCACAAGCGGUGGAGUAUGUGGUUUAAUUCGAUGCAACGCGAAGAACCUUACCAGGGUUUGACAUCCUGCGAAUCUCUUGGAAACUUGAGAGUGCCUUCGGGAGCGCAGUGACAGGUGGUGCAUGGCUGUCGUCAGCUCGUGUCGUGAGAUGUUGGGUUAAGUCCCGCAACGAGCGCAACCCACGUCUUUAGUUGCCAGCAUUUAGUUGGGCACUCUAGAGAGACCGCCGGUGAUAAACCGGAGGAAGGUGUGGAUGACGUCAAGUCAUCAUGCCCCUUACAUCCUGGGCUACACACGUACUACAAUGCUACGGACAAAGGGCAGCAAACUCGCGAGAGCUAGCAAAUCCCAUAAACCGUGGCUCAGUUCAGAUCGUAGGCUGCAACUCGCCUACGUG